GUAGCAAGGAUAUCUUGCUGGAGAUACCUGCCUACCUGAGGCCUCUUGAAGGAAUAUUCACCAUUCAUUGCUGAGACUGGGAUGUGCCAAAACUUCUUAGGCCCUGACAGACCCCAACAAGAUGGUGUGGGCCCAGCACCCUGGCUAGCACCCCUUCUAAUGAGGUUAAUUUGAAAGAACCAAAGAAAAAUCAAAUUGUUUGAAAAAGCACUAAGAGAAAGGGUUACAAGAAGAAAAACAGGACACUGGGAGACAUUAAGGAAAACAAGGUACUUCUCAAUGCUCAAUCCCACUGAGUUCACUGAGAUUAGAAAAGGCAGGUGGCAAACAAGAGUUGAAUAAGAAUCCCUGAGACAUCUGAAAAACUACUAAACAUCACCUCACUUAGACAACUUGGCUCCUUCUGAUGCUCUAGCUGAUACACCAGCCUUUAGUUAAAACAGAAGCAGUGGAAAUCCCUCCCCUUUGCCUUGAGCUGCAGAGUGACACUUUCAGGAAUGAGAUAAACCUGCUGGAAUCCUGCAGGUCCCUGCUUCCUUACUGAAACUGACUGAUGUGGAAAGCAAGUGAGAGCUGGGACACAAGGGCCAGCAGAGCAUGGCUGUGAGCUGGCACCAGUGGGUGCUGCAACCUGCAAGUGUCAGUGAAAUGCUUUGUGAAGAUCCUUAACUCUGCUAUGUCUGCGCAUCUUUCUCUUUUGACUAAAAUGUUACAAAUAUUACCAUAUAAAUGAGUCACUAUAUUUGUUCCUACUGGGUAAACUAUAUACAUCAUUGUAAGAAAAGAAAAAUAAUUAAAUUAAGGGAGGAGAGAAAAAGACAAAAUAUUAGUAAAUAAAAUAGAAAAC
rnacentral:lncRNA from 1 species